GGGAGAUAUAGAUGUUUAUAAGAUCAAAUGAUCACAGCAACAUAGGAAUUACCCAGAGAGAGCUAGGGAAGAAUAUCCUGGGAGCCAAAUAACAGGAUAGGGAAUGUUCUACGAGUUCGGGGCAUGCAGUACGUGCGGGGACCUGGGGCGGGUAGGAAGUCUUGAAAGACUUCAUUUAGGAAGUGGGAUUUGGGCUGAGUUUGGUGGAUGGCAUCAUGAGUCAGUGAGUAAACUGUCAUGACAAUCAGGAUCUGAAAGAGAACUAAGAGAGCCAUGAUACAUAGGGAGGGGCUUAGUGAGGACAGAGGACGUCAGAGGGCUGUAGUCAGGGGAAAAUUAUUUCCCUUUUCUCAGGACCAUCAGUCAGGCUCUUUGUGUCUAGGAGCCUCCUAAUGCAGUCUUCUGCACAGUCCUGGGGACUGACUGACUGAAUCACACCUCUGGGGCUGGGGGCUGCUGACAUGUGUGCCUUUCCUUGGCUGCUUCUUCUCCUGCUGCUCCAGGAGGGUGAGUGAAGCUGCCAGCUCGUGCACAGGAAUGUCCCCUACACCUCUGUUCCCCUGCCCCACUGGGUCUGGGCCAGUAAGACCCUUUCUUAGGGGUUGAAUGUGUCAGCUCUUCUGGAGUUACAAGGAGUAGGGUGUGUGGCUUCAGGGCAGGACCGAGAGACACCUGGGGAUAUGGAAGAAAGAGCAAUCCCAAGAUGGCAAAGGAGAAGGUAAAACUUGGAGGGUGAAGGGACAGAUGGAAGCAAACUCCUUUUAGGUGCUUAACUCAGGGAAAGGGGAAAUCUAGAGUCAGAAGCAGCAGCUGGAGAACAGGAUUUAGUGUGAGAGUCAUAGAAGCUGCCCAGCUGAGAUUACGCUACUCUGGCAGCUCCACUGCCAGGUUCAGCAGCCCAGAGACAGCAGCUGGGUUGUUUGCUUCUCUUUUCUUCCUGCAUAGGCAGCCAAAGGAGACUCUGGAGAUGGUGUGGAUCCGAGGAAGUGGUUGCGGUCCUUCAGGAGUCCAUCAGCCUCCCCCUGGAAAUACCACCAGAUGAAGAGGUUGAGAACAUCAUCUGGUCCUCUCACAAAAGUCUUGCCACUGUGGUGCCAGGGAAAGAGGGACAUCCAGCUACCAUCAUGGUGACCAAUCCACACUACCAGGGCCAAAUCCUAACUAUGCUUCUGAGAAGCCUUCAACAGCCUUCUGCCUCCUGGCCAAGGGAUUGCUCAUCUUCUUGCUCUUGGUAAUUCUGGCCAUGGGACUCUGGGUCAUCCGAGUCCAGAAAAGACACAAAAUGCCAAGGAUGAAGAAACUCAUGAGAAACAGAAUGAAAUUGAGGAAGGAGGCAAAGCCUGGCUCCAGCCCUGCCUGACUGCUCCUUGGGAACCCCAGUCCUGAGCUUGGUUUCUUCCCAGCACCCAGAGAAUCCUUCCUCAGCUCUCUUCUUUCCAGGGGAAGGAGGUGCUCAGGGG
rnacentral:lncRNA from 1 species